UACGUAGGGGGCAAGCGUUGGUCCGGAUUUAUUGGGCGUAAAGGGCGGGUAGGCGGCUUCGUGUGUCCCUUGUGAAAGCCCUCGGCUCAACUGAGGAAUUGCAAAGGAGACUACGGAGCUUGAGUCCGGGAGAGGAGAGUGGAAUUCCCAGUGUAGCGGUGAAAUGCGUAGAUAUUGGGAGGAACACCGGUGGCGAAGGCGGUUCUCUGGGCAUGGAUCUAACGCUGAGGAGCGAAAGUGUGGGGAGCGAACAGG
rnacentral:rRNA from 1 species